CACCGCCGCGGUAAUACGAAGGGUGCAAGCGUUAAUCGGAAUUACUGGGCGUAAAGCGUGCGUAGGCGGUGAGUUAAGUCUGCUGUGAAAUCCCCGGGCUCAACCUGGGAAUGGCAGUGGAUACUGGCUCGCUAGAGUGUGUCAGAGGAUGGUGGAAUUCCCGGUGUAGCGGUGAAAUGCGUAGAGAUCGGGAGGAACAUCAGUGGCGAAGGCGGCCAUCUGGGACAACACUGACGCUGAGGCACGAAAGCGUGGGGAGCAAACAGGAUUAGAUACCCCAGUAGUCCCUGUCUCUUAUACA
rnacentral:rRNA from 1 species